rnacentral:lncRNA from 1 species
UUAGAAUUAGGCUAGAUUUAGGUUUUUCCUUGAAUUCAUUAGUUUUGUUUAAUUUUAGUUAAAAUUAGGUUUUUAGAUAUUUUUUUUGUCUUUGUUAAUAAAUAGGAAAUUAAUAUUUUUUUUUAGAAAAUCUCGUAAUAAAAAUCUUUUCCUUUAUUUUUAAUUGUUGAAAUGCCUUGCUUUUAAUUGCUGAUGGGUUCUGAGUUAAACUGCAGGAAAGUUUUUGGUCAUCUGGGCUUACUUGAUUGAAUGGUUUUGGAUGGAAAUUGGGACGCUGGAAGUCAAAUUGGGUCCUUGCAUUGAAUUUAGCUGCAGAUUGGAAGCUUUGUGCUGUAGGGAAUUAAUUGGGCUGAUUUGAAGACUUGGUCCGUGG